rnacentral:rRNA from 1 species
GACGAACGCUGGCGGCGUGCUUAACACAUGCAAGUCGAACGGAAAGGCCCUGCUUUUGUGGGGUGCUCGAGUGGCGAACGGGUGAGUAACACGUGAGUAACCUGCCCUUGACUUUGGGAUAACUUCAGGAAACUGGGGCUAAUACCGGAUAGGAGCUCCUGCUGCAUGGUGGGGGUUGGAAAGUUUCGGCGGUUGGGGAUGGACUCGCGGCUUAUCAGCUUGUUGGUGGGGUAGUGGCUUACCAAGGCUUUGACGGGUAGCCGGCCUGAGAGGGUGACCGGACACAUUGGGACUGAGAUACGGCCCAGACUCCUACGGGAGGCAGCAGUGGGGAAUAUUGUACUAUGGGCGGAAGCCUGAUGCAGCAACGCAGUGUGCGGGAUGACGUCCUUCGGGUUGUAAACCGCUUUCGCCUGUGACGAAGCGUGAGUGACGGUAAUGGGUAAAGAAGCACCGGCUAACUACGUG